rnacentral:rRNA from 1 species
CUGGCGGCGUGCCUAAUACAUGCAAGUCGAACGGCUUUUCUAUGGAAGUUUGCUUCCACUGAGAAGAUAGUGGCGAACGGGUGAGUAACACGUGGGUAACCUGCCCAUAAGAGGGGGAUAACAUCCGGAAACGGGUGCUAAUACCGCAUAGUUUUCUUGAUCGCAUGAUUGAGAAAGGAAAGACGGCCUUUGUGCUGUCGCUUAUGGAUGGACCCGCGGCGUAUUAGUUAGUUGGUGAGGUAACGGCUCACCAAGACGAUGAUACGUAGCCGACCUGAGAGGGUGAUCGGCCACAUUGGGACUGAGACACGGCCCAAACUCCUACGGGAGGCAGCAGUAGGGAAUCUUCCGCAAUGGACGAAAGUCUGACGGAGCAACGCCGCGUGAGUGAAGAAGGUUUUUCCGGAUCGUAAAACUCUGUUGUCAGAGAAGAACAAGUUGGAGAGUAACUGCUCCAGCCUUGACGGUAUCUGACCAGAAAGCCACGGCUAACUACGUGCCAGCCGCUGC